rnacentral:rRNA from 1 species
CCUACGGGAGGCAGCAGUGGGGAAUUUUUCGCAAUGGGCGCAAGCCUGACGAAGCAACGCCGCGUGGAGGAUGUAGGUCUUCGGAUUGUAAACUCCUGUCGACCGGGACGAAUGCACCCGACCUAAUACGUCGAAGUGUUGACGGUACCGGUGGAGGAAGCCACGGCUAACUCUGUGCCAGCAGCCGCGGUAAUACAGAGGUGGCAAGCGUUGUUCGGAAUUACUGGGCGUAAAGGGCGCGUAGGCGGCCUUGUAAGUCUCGUGUGAAAGCCCUCGGCUUAACUGAGGAUCUGCACGGGAUACUGCGAGGCUUGAGUUCGGGAGAGGAAAGCGGAAUUCCGGGUGUAGCGGUGAAAUGCGUAGAUAUCCGGAGGAACACCAGUGGCGAAGGCGGCUUUCUGGACCGACACUGACGCUGAGGCGCGAAAGCUAGGGGAGCAAACGGGAUUAGAUACCCCGGUAGUCCUAGCUGUAAACGAUGAUCGCUGGGUGUGGGGGGUUUUUACUCCCUCCGUGCCGAAGCUAACGCAUUAAAGCGAUCCGCCUGGGGGUGUACGGUCGCAAAGGCUGAAACUCAAAGGAAUUGACGG